rnacentral:rRNA from 1 species
GACGAACGCUGGCGGCGUGCUUAACACAUGCAAGUCGAACGAUGAAGUUCCUUCGGGAAUGGAUUAGUGGUGAACGGGUGAGGAAUACGUGAGAAACCUGCCUUUCAUUUUGGGAUAACUCCGGGAAACCGGGGCUAACACCGAAUACUCCGUCUCGGCGGCAUCGCUGAGCCGGGAAAAAAUUUUGAUGAAAGAUGGUCUCGCGGCCUAUCAGCUAGUUGGUGAGGUAAUGGCUCACCAAGGCAACGACGGGUAGCCGGCCUGAGAGGGCGACCGGCCACACUGGGACUGAGACACGGCCCAGACUCCUACGGGAGGCAGCAGUGGGGAAUAUUGGGCAAUGGGCGCAAGCCUGACCCAGCGACGCCGCGUGAGGGAUGAAGGCCUUCGGGUUGUAAACCUCUUUCAGUAGGGAAGAAGCGAAAGUGACGGUACCUAAAGAAGAAGCACCGGCUAACUAUGUGCCAGCCGCCGCGGUAA